rnacentral:tRNA from 1 species
GGAGACGUGCCUGAGUGGCCGAAAGGAGCGGUUUGCUAAACCGUCGUACGAGCGAUCGUACCCAGGGUUCGAAUCCCUGCGUCUCCG